AUGAAUGAACUUGGGCAAAGUUGUCGCUGGCCUCAGCAAUGGGGCAUGUGCACGCUUUGUUCAUCCACCCUUCACACCACUGUGCACUUCUCAUGGGUCGGGUUGCGUCUGAAAUAUGGCAAAGCCCUUCUCAUGUGUUUUAACCACACACUAUACAAGUUUUAGAAUGUAACAAUCAUGCAUCAAUGCAUAUAAUA
rnacentral:misc_RNA from 1 species